CAGCCGCCGCGGUAAAACCAGCACCUCAAGUGGUCAGGAUGAUUAUUGGGCCUAAAGCAUCCGUAGCCGGCUCUGUAAGUUUUCGGUUAAAUCUGUACGCUUAACGUACAGGCUGCCGGGAAUACUGCAAAGCUAGGGAGUGGGAGAAGUAGACGGUACUCGGUAGGAAGUGGUAAAAUGCUUUGAUCUAUCGAUGACCACCUGUGGCGAAGGCGGUCUACUAGAACACGUCCGACGGUGAGGGAUGAAAGCUGGGGGAGCAAACCGGAUUAGAUACCCGGGUAGUCCCAGCUGUAAACUAUGCAAACUCAGUGAUGCAUUGGCUUGUGGCCAAUGCAGUGCUGCAGGGAAGCCGUUAAGUUUGCCGCCUGGGAAGUACGUACGCAAGUAUAAAACUUAAAGGAAUUGGCGGGGGAGCAC
rnacentral:rRNA from 2 species